rnacentral:rRNA from 1 species
UGAUUUAAUUUAACGGCUGCGGUAUCCUGACCGUGCAAAGGUAGCAUAAUCAAUUGUCCCUUAAAUUAGGACUAGUAUGAAUGGCACCACGAGGGUUUAACGUCUCCCCCUUUUAAUCAAUGAAAUUAAUUUUCCCGUGAAGAAGCGGGAAUAAAGAUAUAAGACGAGAAGACCCCAUGGAGCUUCAAACUUAUCAACACUUAUUAAUUAUCGUAACAUAUUAAUUAAAUAUACUGCAUUUUAUAGUUUUCGGUUGGGGAAACCCUGGAGAAAAAUUUAUCCUCCAGAUUGAAAGAACUAAUAAUUCUUAUACUAGAAUUACGAUUCAAAUAAACAAAAACUUGACAAAACUGACCCAGUAAUUUACUGAUCAACGAACCAAGUUACCCUGGGGAUAACAGCGCAAUCCAUUUCAAGAGUCCUUAUCGACAAAUGGGUUUACGACCUCGAUGUUGGAUCGGGGCACCCUAGCGGCGCAGCCGUUGCUAAUGGUUCGUUUGUUCAACGAUUAAAACCCCACGUGAUCUGANUNNAAACC